ACGAACGCUGGCGGCGUGCUUAACACAUGCAAGUCGAACGGAAAGGCCCUGCUUUUGUGGGGUGCUCGAGUGGCGAACGGGUGAGUAACACGUGAGUAACCUGCCCUUGACUUUGGGAUAACUUCAGGAAACUGGGGCUAAUACAGGAUAGGAGCUUCUGAUGCAUGGUGGGGGUUGGAAAGUUUCGGCGGUUGGGGAUGGACUCGCGCCUUAUCAGCUUGUUGGUGGGGUAUUGUCUUAGCAAGGCUUUGACGGGUAGUCGGCCUGAGAUGGUGACCCGCCACAUUGUGACUCAGAUACGGCCCAGACUCCUACGCGAGGCAGCAGUGGGGAAUAUUGCACAAUAGGCGCAAGCCUGAUGCAGCAACGCCGCGUGCGGGAUGACGGCCUUCUGGUUGUAAACCGCUUUCGCCUGUGACGAAGCGUGAGUGACGGUAAUGGGUAAAGAAGCACCGGCUAACUACGUG
rnacentral:rRNA from 1 species